UUUUAUAGCCAUUCCCUCAGCAUUUAGGCUGCCUCUAAAGAAGUUAAACUCUGUCAUGCCUGGUUAGCAUUUGGAUGGGAGACCAUGUAGAAAUACCAGAUGUUACACUGA
rnacentral:rRNA from 1 species